CCCCUUCUUAAAUCUUAACCCUAGCCUGUAGUCUACAGAUUAGUAGAUGAGAUGUCGCAUAUAGAUUACGCGCCGAUAUGCUUGGGCCUCGAGGAUUUCUACACGCGCUGUCUCUAUCUCCGCAUACAGGAGAGGCGAUUGCCUCAGUUUCCAGAACAAUAAUAGUUCCCCCCACCGCUGGCUGCAAUGCUCAAUUAUUUCUUACUGUUGUUUGUUAUUUCUGAUGCAUUCCUUUCUGAUUUGACCGACCAAGCAAUAGAUAACAAGUAUUUUGACUCCCUUGGUACAUAGACGUCCUGCAUUUAAGUGCCUGUAGGAUGCUGGUGUGUGCUCACUCCAAAGACGUCCUACCACCAAGGCUAGUUGUUGAGUGCUGGUAGAAAGGAUACCCGUGAGAUGGAUCUGCUAGUAUUAAGUGCUAGUUAACUUAUUCAUUGUGCUCUCUGCAGAUAUUUGAUUAUUAAGUACUAGUUAACAAAAAAGUAGCUCUUGUGAGAUUGACUUGAUGGCAUGCUUGAAACCGAUCACAUUUUUUUCAUGGCAUAUAUUUGAUUAUUGUUUGUUUACUGGUUAUAGCAUUUGAGAGUGAUCUCUUGGUCAGUUCAAUUCCCGUUGCCUAUUGUUUCCUUCAUAUUUUGAAGUCUACCAUUUAUCUGUGCAUAUUUUUUAUACCAUGCCAGGAUGCUAAUGUAAAUUCAGUAAUGAAGCUAGUUUUCUUUGUCUACCCUGGUACCCCAAAACAAAGGUAUGAAAGCAUAUUUGUUAUUUCAGCUUUAACUUCUCCAGCAAACCAUGCCCAAUUGAUUAGCAGGAGGUCUGAUCCUGCAAUACAAAAGCUAUUGAGGGAAGUGCUGUUCUGGGUCUGUUGCUGCUCGACAAAGGGAAGCAACGCCUUUUAGGCUUUAGGUUAGGUAUGCAAUUAAAAGCUGAGAAGGAUGCAAAAUUUGAGCUCGUGCUUGAAACAUGGCUUCGCUUGAAGCUACUUUUUGGCAUAUUGCCAGAUUUUGUGCUAGAUUAACUAGACUUAAACUUAUUUCUUGCUGGAUCAAAUAACUUUGAUGUUGUAUGUAUGUGAUGAGAUGUUGGAUCAGAAUUUAUCUAUAUAUAUGAGCUGGUUUAUAUCUUGAUUUGUGCUAAAAUGAUAAUUGAUUAAUUAGAAAAA